CAGUAGCGUAUAUUAAUGUUGUUGCAGUUAAAAAGCUCGUAGUUGGAUUUCUAGCAGACAUGCGUGGUCCGGUCCACUUUGUGGAACUGAGUAUCGCUGCGUGUCUGUUAUCUUACUAGUUUAUCGUCCCUCUGGGAAGGUUGACUGGUUCUUUUACUUUGAAAAAAUUAGAGUGUUUAAAGCAGGCUUGCGCAAUGAAUACAUUAGCAUGGAAUAAUAACAUAAGACUUUGGUUUUAUUUUGUUGGUUCAUAGCACUGAAGUAAUGAUUGAUAGGGAUAGUUGGGGGUGCUAGUAUUGAGCGGCCAGAGGUGAAAUUCGGGGAUUCGCUCAAGACUAACUUAUGCGAAAGCAUUCACCAAGGAUGUCUUCUUUAA
rnacentral:rRNA from 1 species